rnacentral:rRNA from 1 species
GCGGGCGGAGCUACCAUGCAAGUCGAGCGGUAGAGAGAAGCUUGCUUCUCUUGAGAGCGGCGGACGGGUGAGUAAUGCCUAGGAAUCUGCCUAGUGGUGGGGGAUAACGUUCGGAAACGGACGCUAAUACCGCAUACGUCCUACGGGAGAAAGCGGGGGAUCUUCGGACCUCGCGCCAUUAGAUGAGCCUAGGUCGGAUUAGCUAGUUGGUGAGGUAAUGGCUCACCAAGGCGACGAUCCGUAACUGGUCUGAGAGGAUGAUCAGUCACACUGGAACUGAGACACGGUCCAGACUCCUACGGGAGGCAGCAGUGGGGAAUAUUGGACAAUGGGCGAAAGCCUGAUCCAGCCAUGCCGCGUGUGUGAAGAAGGUCUUCGGAUUGUAAAGCACUUUAAGUUGGGAGGAAGGGUAGUAACCUAAUACGUUGCUAUUUUGACGUUACCGACAGAAUAAGCACCGGCUAACUUCGUGCCAGCAGCCGCGGUAAUACGAAGGGUGCAAGCGUUAAUCGGAAUUACUGGGCGUAAAGCGCGCGUAGGUGGUUCAGUAAGUUGGAAGUGAAAUCCCCGGGCUCAACCUGGGAACUGCUUUCAAAACUGCUGAGCUAGAGUACGGUAGAGGGUGGUGGAAUUUCCUGUGUAGCGGUGAAAUGCGUAGAUAUAGGAAGGAACACCAGUGGCGAAGGCGACCACCUGGACUGAUACUGACACUGAGGUGCGAAAGCGUGGGGAGCAAACAGGAUUAGAUACCCUGGUAGUCCACGCCGUAAACGAUGUCAACUAGCCGUUGGAAUCCUUGAGAUUUUAGUGGCGCAGCUAACGCAUUAAGUUGACCGCCUGGGGAGUACGGCCGCAAGGUUAAACUCAGA